rnacentral:rRNA from 1 species
CAAGCGGUGGAUGAUGUGGAUUAAUUCGAUGCAACGCGAAAAACCUUACCUACCCUUGACAUGUACGGAAGCCUUGAGAGAUCAGGGUGUGCUCGAAAGAGAGCCGUAACACAGGUGCUGCAUGGCUGUCGUCAGCUCGUGUCGUGAGAUGUUGGGUUAAGUCCCGCAACGAGCGCAACCCUUGUCAUUAGUUGCUACGAAAGGGCACUCUAAUGAGACUGCCGGUGACAAACCGGAGGAAGGUGGGGAUGACGUCAAGUCCUCAUGGCCCUUAUGGGUAGGGCUUCACACGUCAUACAAUGGUACAUACAGAGGGCCGCCAACCCGCGAGGGGGAGCUAAUCCCAGAAAGUGUAUCGUAGUCCGGAUCGCAGUCUGCAACUCGACUGCGUGAAGUUGGAAUCGCUAGUAAUCGCGGAUCAGCAUGUCGCGGUGAAUACGUUCCCGGGUCUUGUACACACC